UAACGCUGGCGGCAUGCCUAAUACAUGCAAAUCGAACGAAGCCUUUUAGGCUUAGUGGUGAACGGGUGAGUAACACGUAUCCAACCUACCCUUAAGUUGGGGAUAACUAGUCGAAAGAUUAGCUAAUACCGAAUAAUAACAUCAAUAUCGCAUGAGAAGAUGUAGAAAGUCGCGUUUGCGACGCUUUUGGAUGGGGGUGCGACGUAUCAGAUAGUUGGUGAGGUAAUGGCUCACCAAGUCAAUGACGCGUAGCUGUACUGAGAGGUAGAACAGCCACAAUGGGACUGAGACACGGCCCAUACUCCUACGGGAGGCAGCAGUAGGGAAUUUUUCACAAUGGGCGAAAGCCUUAUGAAGCAAUGCCGCGUGAACGAUGAAGGUCUUAUAGAUUGUAAAGUUCUUUUAUAUGGGAAGAAACGCUAAGAUAGGAAAUGAUUUUAGUUUGACUGUACCAUUUGAAUAAGUAUCGGCUAACUAUGUGCCAGCAGCCG
rnacentral:rRNA from 1 species